CACGGGGGGAGCAAGCGUUGUUCGGAAUCACUGGGCGUAAAGGGUGUCUAGGCGGUCAGGUAAGUGAGAUGUGAAAUGCCCCGGCUUACCCGGGGACCUGCAUCUCAUACUGCCUGGCUUGAGUAUGGGAGAGGAUGAGGGAAUUCCUGGUGUAGCGGUGAAAUGCGUAGAUAUCAGGAGGAACACCGGUGGCGAAAGCGGUUCUCUGGGCCUUACCUGACGCUGAGGAGCGAAAGCGUGGGGAGCGAACAGG
rnacentral:rRNA from 1 species